rnacentral:rRNA from 1 species
ACGCACGCUGGCGGCGUGCUUCACCCCUGCCAGUCGAACGGAAAGGCCCUGCUUUUGUGGGGUGCUCGAGUGGCGAACGGGUGAGUAACACGUGAGUAACCUGCCCUUGACUUUGGGAUAACUUCAGGAAACUGGGGCUAAUACCGGAUAGGAGCUCCUGCUGCAUGGUGGGGGUUGGAAAGUUUCGGCGGUUGGGGAUGGACUCGCGGCUUAUCAGCUUGUUGGUGGGGUAGUGGCUUACCAAGGCUUUGACGGGUAGCCGGCCUGAGAGGGUGACCGGCCACAUUGGGACUGAGAUACGGCCCAGACUCCUACGGGAGGCAGCAGUGGGGAAUAUUGCACAAUGGGCGGAAGCCUGAUGCAGCAACGCCGCGUACGGGAUGACGGCCUUCGGGUUGUAAACCGCUUUCGCCUGUGACGAAGCGUGAGUGACGGUAAUGGGUAAAGAAGCACCGGCUAACUACGUG